rnacentral:rRNA from 1 species
UGAGGAAUAUUGGUCAAUGGCCGGAAGGCUGAACCAGCCAAGCCGCGUGGAGGAAGAAGGCGCAGAGCGUCGCAGACUCCUUUUGUCGGGGGACAAACGGCCGCACGCGUGCGGCUCUGAGGGUACCCGAAGAAAAAGCAUCGGCUAACUCCGUGCCAGCAGCCGCGGUAAUACGGAGGAUGCGAGCGUUAUCCGGAUUCAUUGGGUUUAAAGGGUGCGUAGGCGGUGUCUUAAGCCGGCGGUGAAAUCGCGGGGCUCAACCCCGCCGAGCCGUCGGAACUGGGAUGCUCGAGUGUCGGCGAGGCAUGCGGAAUGCGCGGUGUAGCGGUGAAAGUGCAUAGAUAUCGCGCAGAACCCCGAUUGCGAAGGCAGCGUGCCAGCCGCCCACUGACGCUGAGGCACGAAAGCGCGGGUAUCGAACAGGAUUAGAUACC